rnacentral:rRNA from 1 species
AAUGAAUAAAAUUUUAAUGGCCGCAGUAAUUUGACUGUGCAAAGGUAGCAUAAUCAUUAGUCUUUUAAUUGAAGGCUUGUAUGAAUGGUUGGACGAAGUAUAAUCUGUUUCAUAAAAAUUUAUAAUAGAAUUUUAUAUUUUAGUGAAAAAGCUAAAAUUUUAUUAAAAGACGAGAAGACCCUAUAAAUCUUUAUAAUUUUUAUUAUUUUAAUUUUUUUGAUUAAUUUUAUUAUUAUAAUUGGAAUUAUUUUAUUGGGGUGAUAUUAAAAUUUAAAAAACUUUUAAUUUUUUUUUUCAUUAAUUUAUGUUUUGUUGAUCCAUUAAUAAUGAUUAUUAGAAUAAGUUACUUUAGGGAUAACAGCGUAAUUUUUUUGGAGAGUUCUUAUUGAUAAAAAAGUUUGCGACCUCGAUGUUGGAUUAAGAAAUAAUUUUAGGUGUAGAUGCUUAAA